CUGCCCUCCUCCUGCCCCUCUGGCCAUCUGCCCUGUUCCCGCAGGCUUCCCCACCAACGAUCUUUUCCCCUCCUUGGCCUCUCUAACCCCCGCAACGCCCCUCUUUUGCCUUACUACUCCACCUACCAUUGCUUCUCUCCUAUGGAAAUCUCCGCAAAGACCCCUCCCCAUCCAAGUGCUCCCCUAAACACAAAUGCAUUUUCAGCUUCUAAUGGCUGCUCACAAACAAUACUGUCCCCUACUCUACGGUCCCAGAGACUUAACCACCCUCCUCUCCAGUUUGUCAUGUAUAUAACUUAGUUAUGCUAGGGUCACCCUGGAGAGUCAAGCCCCCGAGGAGAAGCCGUUGCUGAGCCUGGUGACCCUGAGCGUGGGCGAUGGCGAUGGGCUGCCCUCCCACCUCAACCUCAGCCACACACACCCUCCCCGAUUUUACUGACACCAAAUGACCGCUCUCCAGUCGCUAGGACAAGGGGAGGCAGAGAGACGCUUGUGGACGGCAUCUGGGGAAGCAGUUGGCUGUGGGUUGCUAGGCAAAAAUAAACAUCAGAGACACCUCCCAUUUCCUUACAACUGGAAGCCUUUUCCCCACGCGGCCACUGGGAGAGACACACCUUCCUCUCUGCUCUCUGCUGCGAGGGAGCGACACCUCUAAAUUCUCUCGUCCUCUGGUAUGAUUCUUUCCCUUCCAAGACACGUGAAAAAUUUCUCUGCCCUUUUAAUUGGCCAUGUACUACUUCUCUUUCCCAUGAGUACCAAAAAAAUUGCUUGCCCAUCUCACACCUGCGCCUUGUGCUGCGUGGCACAUUGUAUGCCUUUGUCCAAAGGUCACCGGUUUUGCCAUUUCAACAGUUACGAACGAGAGAGGAAAGCUGGACAAAUCUCAGAUGACAGGGCAGAAAGUUAUGCUGUGGAUUUCUUUUCUGAGAGGUAUCUAGUUUUUGAAGUUCUCCUGAGGAUACGGGUCCAUUCCACUCCACCCAGCAGCGUGCGUCUUCAAGCCCCUUGCAGGACCCAGCUUGCAGGCCCAAACUAGUGCAGACUCCAAAGAGAAGGGAGCCACCUCCUGCGGAGUUCCAUCGCCUCUACUGUUUGCAAAUUGUCAUAGCAACCUCCCACAGAGAUCACCUUCAGCUUCAUACAAAGCCAAAAGUUGAGUAUUUCAAGCUAAUCUGCCCCCUUUGCCUCAGGGGAAUGGAAAAAUAACAACAACAACAAAAAGAAGUAUCCAUGGCAGUUGAAGUGGGGGUUCUUCUAAACAUGACCACCUCCUACGAAUUACUUCCUCUAAUGAUGCAGCUAUCAAGAUAGCAGCUGGGAAAACGUGAAAACCCAAAGAAUUUAUGCAAAGAAAUACUAUGUCAGGCAUGUGAACUGAACUAGAAUUGCAUAUUCCUGCUGAGACUCACUCAAGCGCCAUCAUAUUUGCAAACGGGCACGUGGACGAAUAAGCUAACCUGGUAGAGAAAGAUGAUCCAAGGCCAAGACAUUAUUGCAUAUUUCAGAUAUUUGAAAUAAACAAAAAAUCUUCAUGC